GCUAAUUUAUUAGUGUCUAAGAAACAACAGGGGGACCCCCAUCAAUCUUAACACUUUUCUGAUCAAUUGGAUUAAUUCAAAUCUUGAAUGAUGGUUGCUUAGUAUUUUAAACACUAUAUUUGCCUUCCUUCAUGCUAAGUCAAUAUCCUGUCAAAAAUUAUAGUAGAUUUGUUGUGAUAUCCAUAAGGCUUGCUAUGAAAAAAUAUGUGAGGUUGUUUUGAUGCAUAU
rnacentral:lncRNA from 1 species